ACGACAUGAUGAGGACAUUUUCGAAUGAGGUCCUUUAAUCUUUCCCAUGAUUCAUGGAACAGCUCACCAUCUUGCUGCGAGAAGCUAGUUAGAUCUCAUCUUAUCUG
rfam:Cephalotus follicularis DNA, scaffold: scaffold1596, isolate: St1.